CAGCAGCCACGGGAAUACGAAGGGUGCAAGCGUUAAUCGGAAUUACUGGGCGUAAAGCGUGCGUAGGCGGUGAGUUAAGUCUGCUGUGAAAUCCCCGGGCUCAACCUGGGAAUGGCAGUGGAUACUGGCUCGCUAGAGUGUGUCAGAGGAUGGUGGAAUUCCCGGUGUAGCGGUGAAAUGCGUAGAGAUCUGGAGGAAUACCGAUGGCGAAGGCAGCCAUCUGGCCUAAUACUGACGCUGAGGUACGAAAGCGUGGGGAGCAAACAGGAUUAGAGACCCCUGUAGUCCCUGUCUCUUAUAC
rnacentral:rRNA from 1 species